AUUUGUCUAGAUGUGAUCCAAGCGGGUUCAAGUGCUUGAAGAGCAUAUCUGCCGAAACAAAUAUGAUUACCUCGAUAAGAUAUCCCUUUCAUUCUUCCUCUAUGUUGUUUACGGAAUCUUGUUCUUUUGGGGUUAUAAUUGAUGGGUUCUUUCUCAAUGCCAAUCUCUACUACAGAACUGGACAUGAGAGUUUCUUCUCAUCCAGCUCCUCGCGAAUGAAAGGACUAAAAACGAUUUUAUCAAGAUAUAGGGGAAUUUAAUGAAUAAUAUACUGAAGCAUAGGAUUUUUGAAAGUUCAUCUAAUUAAUCUAUUCUAAAUUUGUAUAUCAUGUUUAGAUAUAGAAUUGAAACAUUUAUGUUCUAUUUAUAGAUAAUCUCAAUGUCUUUUUUUUUUUUUUAUCGUUAUAAACAAAUCUUUAUUUUGUUUUGCCCUUUACCAUAUCGGAUCGAGCAAAAUGAAUCAAUCCAAUAAAAUCAAAAAAUAAACCUUUCGCGGGGCGAAUAUUUACUCUUUCAAUAUCUAUUUCAGUUGUAGGGUUAGUUCAUGACCUCUACGAAUAAAAGAAUAGUUUAGUUCCUGGGUUCGUUUCGCCAUCCCACCCAAUAAAUCAUUAAGAUUCAUUUCCAAUAGAAUCUUCUUUUUCUUUAUUCACGGGUUCCGUCGUUCCCAUUGCUUUCUCGAUUAAUGGUUAGGUCUGAAUUCUCCAACGGAGCCCUUAAUGAAAUUUUUUCUUAAGUCAAUUUUCUCAGUUUUUAUUGGCUCGGGGCUCUUGAUUUUUUUUGUUCUAUGAGCGGAUUCAUCUAGUUAGGGAUGAAUCAUUAUUGAUGCUAUAUUACACUGUUUUUUUAUGAGAUGACUUACAGACCUUACAUAUUGGAAUCUUAUAUCAUUGAUAUUUUCUUUCUCUCUUUCUCUCAUCCUUCCAUUUAUCCGCAUGCUUUUCGAUUUUCUUUCACAACUUCGAACUUCACAACCUACAAUCAGAUUGGGUUUUUAUGUUAUGCAAAUUUCAGUUGCUACAACGAUAUGACCACUAUAUUAUAUCUUGACUGGUUCUUUGGAUUCAGAUAAUACGAAGCAAUGAGUUGGUUAUUAGUGCUAUAGUUAUUAGUUCAUACUACAGGACGGUCCAUUUUUUGGAAUCCUAGCCCUAAAAAAAACCAACGAGUCGCACACUAAGCAUAGCAAUUAUAUAAAAAAAAAAAAAUCAAUCGAAUUUUUAUUCAACCCUAUAGAAUUGCGGAAUUUCUCAUUUUUGUUUUGAUUGAAGAUAAAAAGAGCUCGUUCUUUGUUUGGUUUAUUUCCAUUAAUGGGGGGGCUCUAAAGACCCGUAAACUCUUAUUUUUUUUCGUCUACAAAUAUCCAAAUUUUGAUUCCCAAUACCCCGUAGAUAGUUCGAACCGUAUAGGAACAAUAAUCAAUUUUAGCUCCAAUGGUUUGUAGAGGAACUCUACCUUCUCUGAUCCAUUCGGCGCGCGCAAUUUCUUUUCCGUCAAGACGCCCUGCAAUUUGUACUUGAAUUCCUUUUGUAUCGGCCUGUUCCGUUAAUUCAAUAGCUUUUUUCAUUGCUUUUCGAAAAGAAACUCUAUUUUUUAAUUGUCCGGCUAUAAAUUCGGCAAGAAUAUUGGGGUGUCCAUAAGGAUUUGUAAUUCGUGUAAUAGCAAUGUUUAUUUUUCGAUUCACACAAUUAAGUUCUUUUUGUACAUUCAUCUGUAAUUCUUCAAUUCUUCGCGGUCUAUUUUCUAGUAAUAAUUUUGGGAACCCUAUAUAGAUUAUAACUUGAAUUAGAUCAAUUCUUUUUUGAAUCUCUAUCCGUGCAAUUCCCUCAACACCGGAAGAUAUUCUGAUAUUUUUUUUUAUAUAAUUCUUAAUAAAGUUUCGUAUUUUUUGAUCUUCUUGUAGACCCUCGCAAUAGUUUUUUGGUUUUGCAAACCAAAGAGAAUGAUGACUUUGUGUUGUACCAAGCCGGAAACCUAGUGGAUUUAUUUUUUGUCCCAUAAUCCCCAUUCCUAUAUGUAUCAUGACAUGUCAUAGUUUUUUUUUUUCUUUUUUUUUUUAUUUAUUAAUCUAGUGUUUUUUGAGCACUCGAGAUCGAGAUAGUCUCUAUAUUCAUAUUCAGCUAAGGAUAUAUCUUUUAAAACAAUAGUUAUAUGACAAGUGGGUUUUUUGAUCAGAUAACUCCGCCCUCGGGCUCGAGGUUUUAAUCUUUUCGCAGUAGGACCCAUAGCUAUUCGGCUUUAAUAAUGAAUAAACUUCCUUCGUUGAAACCCAGAUUGUGAAUACCAUUUGCUGCUGCAGAAUAAACCAAUUUUAAAAUGGGAUAACAUGCUCGAUAAGGCAUGAGUUCGAGUAUCAUAAGGGUUUCCUCGUAAGAACGUCCAC
rnacentral:lncRNA from 1 species